CCAAUAAAACUUCCAUCAAGUGAUAUAUGAAUUUGUGAGUCACAAGAACCCAAUUGGGAGGCAGCAUGUCCAUCGUAGUUAAAUGCGUCUUCACAUAUUUCAUCCAUCAAAGCAAACACCCCAUGUUCAGUCUUCGCGUCAUCACUCAAAGUAUGCGCUUGAGAGGCUGGUGGAGCAGAAUCACUGUUGAAGAUCAUGGUUUCAUCAC
rnacentral:lncRNA from 1 species